UUUCUUUCUGUGCAUCCUCUAAUUUUAGAAAAGCUACUAAUUUUCAGCAGCAGCAAGACAAAACAACAACAACAAAGCCACAAGCAAACCUUUUGAAGCACACUGCUUUUCUUCUUAAGUGAAAGAACUUCCUGAAUCAGUUUCCACUUGAACGACAAGCAGCAUCGGAUGGAAGACUGGAAACUUACUCUGAAGCACUUGAAGAUUUAACUCAUAGUGGAGAAACAUCACCCAGUUUCUACUCAUUUCUAUCAAUCACUCGGUCUAUGAGAUUCUGGCUGGUGC